rnacentral:lncRNA from 1 species
GCAAUGAUAGUAAGAAAUGCUAAAGAUACAGCUCAUACAAAAGCAGAAUGGAAUAUUCUGGAGGAAGUAAGGCAUCCCUUCAUUGUGGAUUUAACUUAUGCCUUUCAGACUGGUGGAAAACUCUACCUCAUCCUUGAGUAUCUCAGUGGAGGAGAACUAUUUAUGCAGUUAGAAAGAGAGGGAAUAUUUAUGGAAGACACUGCCUGCUUUUACUUGGCAGAAAUCUCCAUGGCUUUGGGACAUUUACAUCAAAAGGGGAUCAUAUACAGAGACCUGAAGCCGGAGAAUAUCAUUCUUAAUCACCAAGGUCAUAUGAAACUAACAGACUUUGGACUACGCAAAGAAUCUAUUCAUGAUGGAACAGUCACACACACAUUUUGUGGAACAAUAGAAUACAUGGCCCCUGAAAUCUUGAUGAGAAGUGGCCACAAUCGUGCUGUGGAUUGAUGGAGUUUGGGAGCAUUAAUGUAUGACAUGCUGACUGGAGCACCCCCAUUUACUGGGGAGAAUAGAAAGAAAACAAUUGACAACAUCCUCAAAUGUAAACUCAAUUUGCCUCCCUACCUCACACAAGAAGCCAGAGAUCUGCUUAAAAAGCUGCUGAAAAGAAAUGCUGCUUCUCUGUGAGCUGGUCCUGGGGACGCUGGAGAAGUUCAAGCUCAUCCAUUCUUUAGACACAUUAACUGGGAAGAACUUCUGGCUCAAAAGGUGGAGCCCCCUUUUAAACCUCUGUUGCAAUCUGAAGAGGAUGUAAGUCAGUUUGAUUCCAAGUUUACACGUCAGACACCUGUCGACAGCCCAGAUGACGCAACUCUCAGUGAAACUGCCAAUCAGGUCUUUCUG